GGGUGAGCCUGCAGGAGGGGGAUGUUUUGGGGGCUGCCCAGCUCCUUGGCGCUGACUGAGGGUCUUGGCACCCAGCUGGCACUUCGGGAGGACAAAGAAGCCUCUGUGCCUGCGCAGCACGAGCAGUUCCCCACCUUCUGCAGUCCCCCCGCUGGCACGCACGAUCCGCUGCUGAUGCGCAGCCCACGGCGCGGCUCCGAGCAUCCGGGGAAGGCUUUGGGGGUGCGCUGUGGGAUGCAUUGCUCUCCUUUGGAGACCCUCUUGGACCACGGCUUGGAGUUAUUCGGGAGCUGUCGCUGCCCAAACCAGUGCCCUGCCCAUCCCAAGACUCAGGGCUGACCUCUGUUAGAUGCUCCCAGCCAGCCAGGACAGCCCUGUCCCCAGGCUGGGUGCCCACAGCAUCGCCUCGGAGUGCUGCAGCCCCCACUAGCAACAAGUGGGCUCCUCUCCUGCUCCUCGCCUGCCUUGUUUGCACUGAAACUGCUAUCAACAGGAGAGCAGGGGGGGCGAGAGGAUGGCAGAGAGCGCGAGAGAGUCACUUCUCAUCAAGUUGAUCAAUCUUUCUGCUGUUGAAGCCUCUCAAUGAGUUGAAUGUGAUUUUCUCUGCCUCCCGCGCAAGGUGGAAGUCGAUCACUUUCAAUUUUCAGCAUGCAGA